CUUCCCGUGCUGAGCGGACUCCCCUGGCUGCCUCCUGUGCUCAGAUUGUGUUUUCUAAUCACCAUCUUCCCCCUUUCUUCAUGUGGGAGACACACGAGGUGUGUCGAAGUGUGAACUCUCCAAACUCCAGCCUUCUCUAUAGCUCCUUGGGUUGGUGGGUUGGUGCUCCUCUUCGUUGGACAUAGUUAUCAACCCUUGGACUUAGAGAAUCAACAAUGCUCCCAUACCUAGAAAGCAAGGUGCAUGAAGUCGGUGCAGUGGGAGUCUGGAUGGUCUAGAGAGCCUGGGGCACCUUUGAAUUUCCAAAGACCCUCCUUCACCAGGGCCCCAAGCCCAGUGCUCAAAAUCAAGGAGCAAAGGGGAGUGCUGACUUCUAUUCUGUCAGCUCAGCCUUAGGGUAGCGCCAGUACCGAGCUCUGGAGGAAGAGCUCCACCCUGAGAUUGGCGCGCCAGAGAGCCAAGGCUCUGCAACUCCUUCCUGCCACCGGCUGGGCCCUGACCUCAUAUGCCAAGAGGUUGCCUAUAACUAGUCCCCAGAGCCCCCCUUCCUGCUUCGGCCAGGCAGCAGCCCCAUCUCCUCUUCCCUCCCCCACCUCAGACUCACUCGUAGUUAACAUAUUGUGUUUAUUGACUUUUGGGAAAUAGGUCAAAAAUGGGUUUGGGUGUAGGUCCAAAUGCUCUCAAAGAAUGUUGGGGGGGCACAGAAAGUGGCAAUGAUCGUCUUAGUCGUUCCGGGAUCCUUACAAAGUGCUUUGAUUCCCUCUAUACUGGCUUCAGGCUCUUGCGGGUAUUCUCUGAAAUCUACUCAUGGAGGGGCUGCCAGCCCCUGCCCCUGCCGCACUGGGCUGGGCUCUUCUUGGGUAAAGCAGUUCUUGGUUGCGCUGGUAAGCAGCUGCCUGCCAUGUAGUUGUUGUUUCCAAUCUGCACUCUACAACAGUUCUCGAGGAUGACUUGAGGUAAGUUCUGUGGUCCUUUGAAAGAAAGGGAGGUGGUGGUGGGAGGGUUCAGUGGUUAGAAAGAAGCGAUUAACAAGCACUGUGGGGAGAGGGGCAGCGACACCUUGUGUUCGUCCUGGGGAGUGCAAAUGCAGGGUCUUAGCCUGCUAGUGACUGUGAUGAGCUGGGCCUCUCCAGAGUUAGAAAAAGCUGAAGAGGAAUAGCGCCUGCUGUUUGGGUGUCUUUGAUGGAAGACCCUCUGGAUUGCCUUAGCAAUAAAGAAACUGUGAAGGCGCAUGGAUCUGGUGUUGGAGACAGACAGCAGACCCCAGGGCAAAACCAGGUUAUGUGUGACUUCAGUGGGAUCUUCACCCAAUGAAUGUCAGGUUCCUCAUGCAUUAAAUGAGAAAGAUUGGGUUGGAUGAUCUCUAGUCCUUUCUUCCCCCCUCCGAGGUAACUCGUCUCUAUCCAUAGGUGUUGGGGAAGAAGGUGAUGGGAAAGCUGAUCAGGGGGAGAGCAAUAGAGGUUGAAGAAUGGGUACCUUGUGUUGGAUCUGGCCCUGGAGCCCAGGAGGUACCUUGUCUUUCAUCUCCCUGCAAAUAGCACAGAGUUCUCAGACUUUCUAUUCAAGGGGAUAGUUCCAUCACUGUGGACACCUCAACCCCAGCUUUUCCCUGGUAAGGAGGCAUACUGCCAAUGUCUCACCUGUUUCCUUUGGGGGUGAGGACCGGGAACCUCAGGGAAGUUUGGGCUGGGUGUUGGGCCUCUGAAGGGUAAAGUGUGUGGCAUUUGGGGAGUCCCAGCCCCCGCACCCAAAGAUGUGGCUGCUGUUGUGGCACACCCAAUUGGUUCGUGCUGUUCUCUUCUCUCCGGAAGGCUUAUGCCUUUUUCGGGAACUGGUCUGGAGCCCCCCUCCAGAUGCAGGUUGUUCAGCAUGUCAGAAACUGAGCUUUUCCUAGGGCCUGGACCUCUCUGGCCUGGCACUAGAGCAGCCAAGGUUCUGCUGCUGUUUCUGUGCUGAGACAGAUGCUGCUUCACCUGCACAGACAGGAGUUGGGGAGCCAGAGUAAGUACCAGGGAUUAUCUGCUGAGUCGGUUACCUGGAGACUCAGGGGUAGGUUGGGGUGGGCGGGGAUGAUGGUCAAGGAUUAAAGAAUGGUGACCAGCGAAGAUACAUCAGAUAGUCAAAGGGGUCACAUGUGCCGUUCCUGAAUAGCUCCUGGGUGGGAAGGCGGUUUUGGAAACAUACCUCGGAGACAGCAGCAUCUACCUUGUCCUGUACCAGGAGGGAGGUAUCACAUGUUUUGGGUCGGCAAUCUGAAAGACGUCAGAGUGAGUUGCAUGCGAGCAGGACAAGCUUCCUGAUCCUAGUUGCUAGAGAAACCCCCAGCUCACCCUGGAAGGUUGGCCUGUCCUUGGGCUCAGAACUCCAGCAGCGCACCAUUAACUCCUUCAGCACUUCCAAGCCAGGAGUCUCAGGGCUGGGGGGAGGCAGCUCUGUCAACGGGGGUCGAUUCUGCCUUUCACAAACUGCGUCAUGAACUAGUGAUGUUUGGUCUACCACUGGAGUGGGGGUGAUAACAAUAGGAAUCCAUGAUAUGAGGGCACACACCAUGGACAGAAGCCGGGAGUGUCAGCCCAGGGAGAGGUAGAGUAGGAAGAGGGAAGCUGAGUAGGUAAGGGUGAAAGGCAGGGCUCGGGGGUUUUAAGUGCUUCUGGCACCUGGGGUAAGAGUCUUAGAGUCUCUCUAGAGUCUUACACUCAACUUCUCUUCCAGCCAGCACAGCCCACGUGAGAAUCCCAAAGCUGCAUAGACACAAAAUGGAGGCUUAGCCAACCCCUGGGAAGACCACUUUCCCAGGCUAUAUCCUUUAGAAGGGCCCAAUAGCAUAGAAAUUUGGGAUGUUUUGAACUGGAUAGCUUACCUGUAGAUGUCACUGGCUGGGGAAGCGGUCCGGUUGACAUUAACCAAUAGCUCUGGGGCCAAGUAAGCUAGGGUACCCCCUGAAUCCCUGGACCCUGAUCCUGACUGUGACCCUCCCUGAAAGGUGGACAGGCCAAAAUCUGCUAGCUGUAAGGGAAAGGAAGAGGGAGGUAUUAGAUGAAGGGGCCGACGUUCUUCAGAAUUUUCCCCCUCUCUCCUCCAGAAGAUGCAGCCUCAGUUUUUUGAAGGUGGUCUGGAGGACCAGAGGGAAAGGUGGAGUCAGUGAGACCUCAAGGAGGAGUUCUAAGAUGCUGAUGGGCAAGCCUGGGUCUAGGUGUGUCAGGAUUUCUGGGAUAAGUCAACCUGGGUCCAUGGGGGUGGGGGGCUUUGUGGAAUAGGCUUAUGGAACUGAUCCAGGUGGGUAAGAAGGGCCUCUGUCACCUGGUAUGACUAGAGAUAAAAUUCCUGAGUGACCUGGGCAGUCUUGUAUUUAGAGGGACAGGCAGAGGGUAUUCAACACGGUUCCAAGCUUGCAGUAGGGUGUAGAUGGGCUGACCUUGGCAUGGAGCUCUGGGUCCAGCAGGACAUUGGAAGGCUUGAGGUCCCGGUGUAGGAGCACUGGGUUCAAGCUGUGCAGGUAACACAUCCCCAGCACCACUUCAUGCAGCAGGCGACAGAGGAGCGGCCAGGGUCGAGGACACAUGGGCUGCAGCAGCCCUGCGAGGGAGCCAUUCUCCAUGAAUACUGUCACCAGAGCCGGCCCAGAUAAGUAAUCCCACUUGAGGUUCUCGGCGACCCCCAGCAGGAGCAGCACGUGCUUGUUACGCAGAUUCACCAUAGCUUUCACCUCCCUGGAUAUCGCCUUCCUACACUCCGAAAAAGAGUCACAGUUGGGUCGGACCCUGGAAGACCCCCUCACCCCUCCCCUUGCCCCUUCAGGCUCCUUGAUCAGAUCCUGCCUACAGCUGGGGUCACUCACGAGUUCACGAUCUUGACUGCCACAUCAUGGCCCCAAGUUCUGUGUUGUGCCCGGUACACUGUACCAAAUCCGCCUUCGCCCACAAACUCCGGGUUCUUCAGUUCAUCACAGGAUACAAGAGAGGCCGAGGCACCACAGCGCCUGAGAGAAGGUUCUCAUCCAGUAGGGGAGCCCGCCUCCACGUCAGCAUAUUCUCCGUCUCCAGUUCCACGGCUGAGCGUGGGCAGCGUGUCAACCUCCCCCUGCGACCCACUCGGCCCCCAGCUUUGUCCCCUGCCUCAGCAAAGGCGCCCUCUGGGUGUGUCCCCGAUAUCCUGUGUGGCUGUGCCGGAGACUGAGGAUCCACGGCACACUCCCUACUCACCAUAACUUGGCAGAAGACAUCAGGAGUUAGCGGCUUCCAGGAGUUAUGUGCACAGAAAGCAGGAACGACGUCUACAGCUGGGGGUUUGAGAGGAAGACGGGGCCUGCAAAGGGAGUGAUCUAUUGGUCCAGGCACGGAGGUCCAGGCCCCGAAUUCCACUUCUCACGCAACUUUGAAUGAGUGACCGAAUAACUUCCUUCUUAAAGGAGGUCCCGCCCCUUGGGGUGGAGCAAAUGAAAACUGUUCAUUUGGGCUGUUCAUUUCUGUGCACCUGCCUCGAAUCCACAGGAGUAAUUGGGCAUUGGGUGUGUCACAAGAAAGAAAGGAAGGAAGGAGGAAAGAAAGAAGAAUCCUCACCACCCAGGAACGCACAAUCGGCUCUGCACAACAGCCCAGUCUCUCUUGGAACUCUGUGUUCCCAGCUCCAUCACCUGCCUAAUUGGGUUGAAGGGAGAAUGGAAAUUUUAUGGUCUUAGACUCAGCUCUUCUAAGAUCAUGGGUAAUGCUUCUAAUAAGGCUUGCCUCGGGUCAGGUACACAUAACCCUCUUCCUUAAUCUCGGAUCAACCUUAUUUACCUUUCUAUAGACCAGGAAACACAAGCACUUACAGUUUAAGUACCUUGGGCAAGUAAGUAUGGAAAUAGUUUAGAACCUGGUUCUACUUUACCAAGAUAGCCCAUACUUAUUUAUUUAAAAAUUUUUUUGACAGGUUCUCUCUCGUAGCCCUGGCUGGUCUAGAAUUUGCUAUAUAGACCGGGCAGACUCAGACUUACAGAGGGCCAUCUGCCUCUGCCUCUAGAAGAAAUCCAUGAAGUGACCCUGAAUUGCAGCCUCCUGAUUUCCCCUGGGACCCGUCCGGCGAUGAAGCAGCUUCCCUCUCCUCCCUGCACAGUGCUAGAUCAGAAAGCCUUUGCUGUUCAAGCGUGGACCUAAUUGAAAUGAGCAGGGGAGUUUGCCUAUGGGCAGGACCUUCUAUCUGGCCAAAGACCGCUUCAGCUCAGAGUUCCCUCCUCACUACCUUAACUGCUGGGAAACAUGCCCUCACCAGAAGGGGAGAAAUAUCCUCAGAAGGAAAAACAAAACAAAACAAAACAAAAAACAAAACAACCACGACAAAAAUCUGCCACUUUGGGGAACUGGGCUGCAUUUGGAGAAGUCCCAACGCAAACCCAGAGUCUGGGCAGAAAAGAACUCUGGGUGCGAUCACUACUCUUCCGUGUUGUGUGUACCGGCAGAUCACAGGUCUGAUUGGCAAGCUCGUUCUUCCUGCUGUUAUGUGUUACAGUAGAUGACACAUUUUACUGGGAGGACUGUCUUACCUUGAGUCUGUGAAGAACCGGGAGUGGAAGAAGAAAGAAGCAUCAUGGGAAGGGAAGGAAUGAGGGUCCCCAAGUACUGGGUAAGGAUGGUGUGAUGGCUGGUGUUGCCAACUUGACAAAGUCUAGAACCAUCUGGAAGAUGGACUGCUGUGUAUUAUCUGGAUUAUGUUCUUUGAGGUGGGAAGACCCACCCACUGUGCGGCCAUUCCUAAAGUCGGGAAUCUUGGAUUAUUUUAAGAGUGGAGAAAGAGAGGUGAACACUAGCAAGCCUGACCGCUCUCUUCUUCUGCUGGAGACAGAGCAGGACCUGCUGCUUCAGGCUCCCCGCACUGUGCUUCCUGGCCAUGACUGACUGUAACCUGAACCCCUGAGCUAAAUGAACUCUCUCCUUGAACUUACUUUUUGUCAGGAUAUUUUAUCAUAAAAACUGGAAAAGAAAUGAGGACAGAUGGGUUUUAUAGGCAUAGGAAAAUUAAUUAGCCUGUGUUGAGGUCAUGCGAACAAUACCACAAUAAAAAAAUUAAAUUAAGCAAUUUUCUUGGGUACACAUGUCCUCCUCGCUCCCCUUAUUUUUAGUUUUUGGAGACAGGGUUUCUCUGUGUAAUAGUCUUAGGCUGUC